CCUGAAGGCCAUGGGAAGACCAAAAGGAGCCAACCCGACUAAGCGCUGCGGAGAAGCAGGGGCGCUCUCGCGUUCGACGCGAUGCCGUGUCCAGAGAGGAGAGAGAGAUACUUCAAAAAAGAACAGCAGAAAUACUGGGAGGACAUAGCAUCAGGCAGGAAGUGGAGAGAGACUUACGACAGGAUCAAGUCCAGGAAAGUAGCCCUAAAGCACUUCACCACACCUCCAGAGAGCCCCCCGGCUUUCACCAGACAGAGCUGAUAAUCCAGAGCCAAGCACUUCCAGAGGAAGAUGGAGAACCCAUACUGUGCAGAGGCAGGAGCCAGACACACAUGCUGCAGGGGGAGGAGCGAUACUCACACCUUCUCUCUCUUUCUCUCUCUCUCUCUCCACCGCCCACCCCACCCCGCACACACAAGCACGCACUCACAUACAUGCACACACACUCAUGCGAAAGC